rnacentral:rRNA from 1 species
GUGUCAGCAGCCGCGGUAAUACGUAGGUGGCAAGCGUUGUCCGGAAUUAUUGGGCGUAAAGCGCGCGCAGGCGGUCCUUUAAGUCUGAUGUGUAAGCCCACGGCUCAACCGUGGAGGGUCAUUGGAAACUGGGGGACUUGAGUACAGAAGAGAAGAGUGGAAUUCCACGUGUAGCGGUGAAAUGCGUAGAGAUGUGGAGGAACACCAGUGGCGAAGGCGACUCUUUGGUCUGUAACUGACGCUGAGGCGCGAAAGCGUGGGGAGCAAACAGGAUUAGAUACCCUGGUAGUCCACGCUGUAAACGAUGAGUGCUAAGUGUUAGAGGGUUUCCGCCCUUUAGUGCUGCAGCUAACGCAUUAAGCACUCCGCCUGGGGAGUACGGCCGCAAGGCUGAAACUUAAAGGAAUUGACGGGG